rnacentral:rRNA from 1 species
UACGUAGGGGGCAAGCGUUGUCCGGAAUGACUGGGCGUAAAGGGAGUGUAGGCGGCCAAUUAAGUUAGAUGUGAAAUCCCACGGCUUAACCGUGGAACUGCAUCUAAAACUGGAUGGCUGGAGUGCAGGAGAGGUGAGCGGAAUUCCUAGUGUAGCGGUGAAAUGCGUAGAUAUUAGGAGGAACACCAGUGGCGAAGGCGACUUUCUGGACCGUAACUGACGUUGAGGCACGAAAGUGUGGGGAGCAAACAGG